GGAAUUUUGGACAAUGGGCGCAAGCCUGAUCCAGCAAUGCCGCGUGAGUGAAGAAGGCCUUCGGGUUGUAAAGCUCUUUUGUCAGGGAAGAAACGGACUUUUCUAAUACAGAGGUCUAAUGACGGUACCUGAAGAAUAAGCACCGGCUAACUACGUGCCAGCAGCCGCGGUAAUACGUAGGGUGCAAGCGUUAAUCGGAAUUACUGGGCGUAAAGCGUGCGCAGGCGGUUUUGUAAGACUGUCGUGAAAUCCCCGGGCUCAACCUGGGAAUGGCGAUGGUGACUGCAAGGCUAGAGUUUGGCAGAGGGGGGUAGAAUUCCACGUGUAGCAGUGAAAUGCGUAGAUAUGUGGAGGAACACCGAUGGCGAAGGCAGCCCCCUGGGUCAAAACUGACGCUCAUGCACGAAAGCGUGGGGAGCAAACAGGAUUAGAUACCCUGG
rnacentral:rRNA from 1 species